rnacentral:hammerhead_ribozyme from 1 species
GCAUUUCUGAUGAGUCCCACAAUAGGACGAAAUAGCCGUCUAGUGC